rnacentral:tRNA from 1 species
CGUCUCGUGGUGGAACUGGCAGACACACCGGCUUGAGGUGCCGGGCCGAAAGGCACCGAGGGUUCGAAUCCCUCCGAGACGACCA